rnacentral:rRNA from 1 species
UACGUAGGGGGCAAGCGUUGUCCGGAAUCAUUGGGCGUAAAGAGCGUGUAGGCGGCCAGAAAAGUCCGCUGUGAAAACUCGAGGCUCAACUUCGAGCUGUCGGUGGAAACUUUCUGGCUAGAGUCCGGAAGAGGAGAAUGGAAAUCCUGGUGUAGCGGUGAAAUGCGCAGAUAUCAGGAAGAACACCCGUGGCGAAGGCGGUUCUCUGGGACGGUACUGACGCUGAGGUGCGAAAGCGUGGGGAGCGAACAGG